GAUGAACGCUGGCGGCGUGCCUAAUACAUGCAAGUCGAGCGAACGGACGAGAAGCUUGCUUCUCUGAUGUUAGCGGCGGACGGGUGAGUAACACGCGGAUAACCUACCUAUAAGACUGGGAUAACUUCGGGAAACCGUAGCUAAUACCGGAUAAUAUUUUGAACCGCAUGGUUCAAUAGUGAAAGACGGUCUUGCUGUCACUUAUAGAUGGAUCCGCGCUGCAUUAGCUAGUUGGUAAGGUAACGGCUUACCAAGGCAACGAUGCGUAGCCGACCUGAGAGGGUGAUCGGCCACACUGGAACUGAGACACGGUCCAGACUCCUACGGGAGGCAGCAGUAGGGAAUCUUCCGCAAUGGGCGAAAGCCUGACGGAGCAACGCCGCGUGAGUGAUGAAGGUCUUCGGAUCGUAAAACUCUGUUAUUAGGGAAGAACAUAUGUGUAAGUAACUGUGCACAUCUUGACGGUACCUAAUCAGAAAGCCACGGCUAACUACGUG
rnacentral:rRNA from 1 species